UAGUGAAAGGGUUAAUGUUGUAAUGGACUCUAAUCCCCUCGGUUCUCGUUCCCUCGGUCACCAUAAUCAACGUUGAUGGAGGAUCAUUGUAAGCAUUAACACACGGACAACAGCUUUACAAGACUCUCAAAUGAGUGUAUUCCAGAGCUGGCUUUUAUACAUAGUUUGCUUACAUUAGCCAUGGUAUAUGCAAAUACAGUACAGACUAUAAGAUUUAUUACUUCCUUAUAUUACGUUAUUCUGACAAUGGAAAGAUAAGCUUUUGCAUACGUCUGGAAAAGAAUAUCCUUAAAAUCGGAAUGGGCAAGACAUCCUGAAAUUUAGCAUUGUCUUACAUCCUAUAGAAGAAAUACCUUAGUCUGUCACAGUCAGCAUAUUAUGUACAAUAUCCCUUCAGUCAGCAAUAAUCAUGUUAUAAACCUUAUAAAAGCAUAAAAUACAUAUAAACAAGUUAACUAUUUAAUAUUCUUACAUUCCCCUCUUUGAGCAAUAAAACAAUUGCUCAUCUUAUCGAUAAAAUCUUACCAGGACAGAGAAACUUCCACAUGGUAUUUUCAGGGGUGCUAGUCACUCCCUGCGGGACUUUCAUUAAUUUCUUCACCUCGAUUCCCAUGUGGUAAUUCCUAAGGCCCAGUUUAAAGAUGGGUUGAUACCCUCCAGUGGCAGAGAGGAGAAUUUCUAAUUGUUUCUGUUCUGCAUUAUGGAUUCAUUUCUGUACUCUCUUCCUCAAUGUACAAGUAAGGUGACAGUUAUAUAAAAUCAUACACAAUAAAAUCAGGACUAUAAUAACAAAAUGAUAGAAGAAUGAUUUCAUUAUCUGAGAUCCAGUAGGGGACCAACCAGUGAAGCAUCGUACCAAUGAUGGGCUAAAUCAUUCUGAAUUUGUGAACUCACCUUAAGGAGUUCUCCUUUUAGGAUAUGUGUGGCUACCUGUGUGUGUUAUCUUUGGGAAAAAUAUAGUCCCCUGUGUAUGUGGGUGCCCACCAGGUUAAAUUCUUGGCAAAAAGAUCAUAAACUGGUACUGGUAAUGUGUUAAAUUGACAAGCUAAUUUAACAUCCUUUGAUGAUGUAUGAUAUAAUGUAAAAUAGCAAGAGCAUGAAAAAAUGUGAAGCAUUACCAGUUAACCAUCCAUUGCAUUUAGUGGAUUGGGGUUUUAGAAGUAACCAUUCAUUAUCUGUGAGGUUAAGCAUCCCUCUAAUCUUCUCUAGUUUAGGAAUCAUUAGUGUGUUUUCUAAUGCCAAUCCUUGUUGUAUCCAUAAAUACCUGAUGGCACAAGUACUCCAGUUACUUAGACCUGUUGUGAAUUUCAUAGUUGCAACAGUUAAAUUAUCUAAAUCCAAUCCUAUAACCUGUGAUUUAACAACAAUUGGAGCCCAAUUUGCACUAGCAUGAAAACCAGUCCCUAUAUGCAUGCUGGCUGUGUUUAACUUAUUCUUGAGGGUCUCCAUAUCUAUAACUAUUUAGUAUACCCAUAGUGGUUCCAGCACCAUCUAACAGUGUGUCAUACCAUUCCCUUUUCUGCCUUUGUUUGUUGUAUUACAUAAUGUUACAACAAGAGUAGUGACUUUUAAUGACACAUGUACAGCUUGUAAGAAGGCAGUUGUAUUAACACAUGUGGACGGAAUAGGUGUGUGUGUGUCGUUGUUGACUUUUGGUUCUAUGGUAGAGGAUAAAGGACAGUAAUAAGGUGUAAAAAUAUAAGGUAGUGUAUAGUUCUCAAUUGUAGUGUUGUUCAUAAUGACUAACAUUUGUCCCCUUCUCCAAUUAAUGAUACCAGUUAUAUAAUCAUUAUUAAAAGUAAUAAGGCCUAUCUGUUUACAUUGAUAUGCAACCUUAACUGUGCACAUUUCUGCGUUAUAAGAUCUAACAAUUUUCUGUGAACCUUUAAACAAACAUAAUGCAUCGGUUUCAUUAGCUGUAGACACAUUUCAUAUGGGUAACUGGUACUUAUAAGGGUUACUAUUUGUCCAAUUCAUCCAAAUGCGUUCAGUCAAUGAAUGAUUGCAUAUUGCAUGCUGAUAGAAAGGUGGUGGAGAAAGGUUCUUGAGGGGGCGUGUGUGACGAAUGCUAGAUGAGGGGCUAAGGCCUAAUUGGGCUGGGGUAUUGAAGAAUUGUUCAUCAUGUCAGAGUCUUUUUCCAGAACUUGCCAUUGACUUGUACUCAUAAUGGCAUUCAAGGAACAAUAUCAGAGGGAGUAUAACAACUCCAGAAAGCAUAGCGCACAACAUAAUCUUGGUCUCAGGUACGUAUGAUCCUCUCAAUCUACGAUAUGGUGUAAAAGCCAUGAUGCUUCGCUGAGGAGAAAUUCUUCUGUUUCCGAGCGAGGAGUGGUGUUGUCUUCCUUGGUUCCCCUCUUUGGACACAGCUUCACUCGGGAUGCGUGAAUCCAGAUGUCGUGGGAAUCUGUGAGGACAGCGGUUCUGGGUACAGCAAUCACAGUAGCAGGUGGUCCAAAAGGGUAUCCUCCUUUCUUGGUCCUGUUCAACUGACGGAUAUACACCUUGUCACCGGGCUGGUAUGAAUGAGUAGGUUCCUGUGAAGGUAAGGGAAAACUGCGAAGAAACAUUGUCAUACAUACCAUUCGGUUUUAUCAACAAUUCCUGUACAUAUUGUUCUUGUAUUAGCUUUAAAUCCCCAGACAUUAUAACAAGCAGUUCCCUGGCCCAGGGUGUGGGAAAAGGUCAUCCCAUCAAAAUCUCAAAUGGAGAUAAUUUAGUCACCUUGUGAGGAAUCACUCUUAUCUCAGCUAAAAUAGCUGGUAGAUAUCUAGUCCAAUUUACCCAUGUUCCUGGGUAAAUUCUGGGCUUUUCCUUAAUAGUCCUAUUCAUCCUUUCAACUACCCCUGUAUUCUGUGGAUGAUAGGGUAUAUGAAACUGCCAGGUAACUUGCAAGAAUUUAGCAAGUUCCUGGGCAACCCUACUUGCAAAAACCGGGCCAUUAUCAGAGCCAAUCUGCAGAGGGCAGCCAUACCUGGGAAUAAUUUCAGUAACAAUAAUCUUCACUAGCAUCCUCCCUAGAUGUCACAAAGGCCUCAUGCCAUCUACUAAACUGAUUAACUAUGACCAGUAAGUAUUGCUGUUUCUUACCAAUUUUGGAUACAUGAAUAAAAUCAAUCUGUAAGUGUGUAAAAAGAGCAGUGUUCACACGAUCUUACAAAAGACUGUACAUGCUGCCUGAGAUUCCUAAUAUAAAAUGAAUUCAUGAAGAAUUGAAUGGUGCUUGCUAUGUGCCUGACUGAUGAAAAUAAAUCAGCUUGCUUCAAGUAUGCCUAUUCUUCAAGUAUGCCUAUUCUCCCCUCUUUAGAGAACAGAUCAUUUUGAUCUUUCUCUAAACCUUGUUUAAUCCAAAAGACAGAUUCUGGGUAUUAAAAAAAUAAUCUCAUAACCACUGAAGCGCUGGGCUGUCAUGUGUUGUAUGGUGAUAUUUAUUAUCAGCUGAGUGACCUGGUGACUGGCAUGAAGUAUUGUAGGAUGCCCUAGUGUGAUAGUAGUAGCAGUUUCAACAGCCAUUGCACAUGCUAUCAAUGCUCUGAGACACGCCGGCAUACCCUGUACCGGAGCUCGAACUACUUUGGAAAAGAAUGCUAUGGGACGCAUACCGCCUCCUUGCUCUUGUGCACAGACUGCGGCCAUGGUUUUACAAUUGUCCCAAGCAUACAAAUGAAAUGGUUUACAAUACACAGGUAGUCCUAAAGCCUGGGCUUGCACAAUAACAACUGUAAGGGCAAUAUAUGCAGCUAGCAUGUCUGGUGACCAGCAGACAUUUUCAGGGCUGUCAGAACGUACAGCCUCCCUUAGGAUUGAGUCAUAAUGGGAGCAUUCAGGGAUCCAUGGUGGCAGUAAUUAAUCAUGCCGAGGAAGGUGAGCAACUCCUUCCGAAUAGUGGGUGUAGGAAUCCUCUGAAUGACCUCAAUACAUUUUGGACUCAAUUGUCUGGUGCCUAAAGCCAGAACAAAACCUAAGUAUUCAACCUUUGAUUUACACAAUUGCAUUUUGUGUUUAACAACCUUGUGACCUAUAGUUGCUGACAGUAUCCACAGUGCUUGCCUCAUAGCUAGGGUUACAUAACAACAAAUCAUCAACAUUUUGCAAAAAGGACGGAACCAUGACCGGUGGUCCAUGUUUUUUAGAGUAUGUUGGAGUACCAACGAAUAAACAGCUGGGGAAUCCACAUAGCCUUGGGUAAGCGUGUCCAGGUAAACUGGCAGCCUUCAAAAAGUAAAAACCAUAAGUAGCUGUGUCUCUUGAUCAAUAGGUAUAGAAAAAAAUGUAUUACUUAAAUCAAUGACAGUGAAGCAAGUGGCAUCAUGUGGAAUGGCUGUAAUGAGGGAUGUCACAUCAGGGACAAUGGGUGAAAUGGGCACAAUUAAACUAUUCAGGGCUCUAAAGUCCUGAAUUAAGCGAUAUGCUGGCCAGUGGUGUUGGGAGUGGGUCUGGUGUUGUUCUUGCCUACCGGGCAUAUUUUGAGAAUUGUGGGGUUGUUGGGGUGUGUGGGGUUUCCUGGGGUUUCCUGGGGUGUGGACACUCAUUCCUCCAGUGGCCAUAUUGGCCACAGUUGAAACAAGUGUUCCUAUCUAUUCCUCCUUGGUUACCCCUGCCCCUAUAACCCUGAUUUCCCUGUCUCCAUCCCCUUGCCCCUCUUUGACCACCCCUUCCACGGGCUUUAUGUGCUCCAUCCCAUCCUUGCUCUCAUCCUGUGUAGCUGGACAUAAUAUGUUGCAAUCCCUGAGCAUAAUAAGCAACCUUACUUUCCUAAAUCUUUUCUUAAUUCAAAACAACCUGCAUUUUCCUUUUCUAUAACCUUGGUAAGAAACUCUGAGCUAUCCAAAUUGGCCCAGUCUGAAAUCAAUUGUUUCACAAGCAAAGAAUACUGUGGCAACAUAUUACCAAGGCAUGACUGUAUUUUAAAAAGAUCUAUAUCAUCUCCAGACAUCAAACCUGCCUCAUCCUUCCAACACUUGUAAAAUUUCUUUACAAAAAUCAUAUUACCAAUCUCUUCCUUUGCAUCCCGCUUAAAUGCCAAAGCAGUGAAUAUAGACUGCUUAUUCUUCCAUAAUCCCAACAUUUCAGCUUCCACCUUGUUCCAAAUUUUAGCACAUCUUACUGAAGUACUAAGCUCAUAAUCACCAAUUCAUUUCAAACCAUAUAACUCAUACUCAGCAUCCCAUGUAAUAUUACACGUCAUCUCACAAAGCAAUAUCUUUGUAGAAACACAUAAUGGGUACCCAGCAGAUAUGCCAAUACAGAAAUCACAUUUAUGGGCACACAACUACACACUCUGUCUCCCUCCUAGGAAACACGGAUAGACACAAUAUAAAAGCAAUCUUAAAC
rnacentral:lncRNA from 1 species